GUAGACACGUAGUUUGAUCCGUGGCUCGAGGACGAACGCUGGCGGCGCGCCUAACACAUGCAAGUCGAACGAGCAAAGAGGAGCUUGCUUCUCUGAGCGAGUGGCGAACGGGUGAGUAACGCGUGAGGAACCUGCCUCAAAGAGGGGGACAACAGUUGGAAACGACUGCUAAUACCGCAUAAGCCCACGGGUCGGCAUCGACCAGAGGGAAAAGGAGUAAUCCGCUUUGAGAUGGCCUCGCGUCCGAUUAGCUAGUUGGUGAGGUAAUGGCCCACCAAGGCGACGAUCGGUAGCCGGACUGAGAGGUUGAACGGCCACAUUGGGACUGAGACACGGCCCAGACUCCUACGGGAGGCAGCAGGUGGGGAAUAUUGCACAAUGGGGAAACCCUGAUGCAGCGACGCCGCGUGGAGGAAGAAGGUCUUCGGAUUGUAAACUCCUGUUGUUGAGGAAGAUAAUGACGGUACUCAACAAGGAAGUGACGGCUAACUACGUG
rnacentral:rRNA from 1 species